rnacentral:misc_RNA from 1 species
CAGAGACCAUAGUUCAAUAAUUUCCUAUAGGCCUAAACUGAAUGUAAUUUCCAAAAGUAGUUACUUACAUUCAAGCACCUUAUUUACACCUUAAAAAUACAUAGCAAAGCGAUAAGGAUUUUAAGCAUUGUAAAUACAGCUUUGUUUACGUGUAAGCUGUUCAUGAACAGCUGCAAUUGUAUUUCAUAAAGUAAACUGCUACACUCCAUUAAACCACCUGCCCACCUUAGUGACGUAACCUAUCACGUUGCUCGUAUAGUUACUAUUAAUUCUGCCCUCAAUUACCACAAAGUACAAUAAUAAUACCACUGCAAGUUAGGCGAGAAGGAUCGCGAACAUUUUCAGAUUUUACUAUUUAAGUCUUCUAUCGCUAGCUGCGCGAAGCAGCGGAGGUUCACACGUAUGGAAGCUAAAAACACAAAAACUAAGAUACCGAACGAUGAUCCACCAGGAUACAAUGAAAACCAUGAAAACAGAGAUGGUCUUCAGAAUAUUAUGGCACCUGUAAUUCCCGCAGAAACUGAAUAUCCACCAGGUUAUCCAUCACCACCAUCAGAUUAUCCAUCACCACCACCAGAUUAUCCAUCACCAUCGGGAUGUCCCCCACCUGGAUAUCCACCGCAACCUGAAUAUCCACCACAACCUGGAUACCCACCACAACCUGGAUAUCCACCACAACCUGGAUAUCCACCACAACCUGGAUAUCCACUGCAACUCGGAUAUCCACCACAAUCCGGACACAUGUCACAACAACAACAACAACAGCUUGUUAUCACACGAACCUACCAACCACAAUACGUUGAAAAUAAGGUGACUUCAGCAUUUCUUGUCACCCUUUUCUGCUUUUUCCCAACAGGCAUUCCUGCUAUUGUUUUUGCACAAAAAGCACAAACAAUGGCCCUAUCCGGUAAUAUAGAAGGUGCACAGGAAGCAAACGCUGGUGCAGGAAGGCUAAUCAAAAUAUCAAUGAUUGUUGGUUUUUUCAUUAUUAUGAUUUUAAUUAUUCUACGCUUUGCUGUGAUUAGAGGAUUGUGAGGAUAAGGAAAAUUGACAUUAAACGAAGAGGGACUUCUUUUUUUUAUUAUUUAUAUUUAAUUCUAAUCAGAUAAAAUAUUCUUAGCAAAAAUGAACAAUGAUAUAUUCUGAUCGGUGAAUUCUACAGCUCCAACUUGAUAGCAAGACCCUAUAAUAGAAUAACACUAUGAGAGUAUAAUGAUGUUCCUGAAGCCCUUGUACCGUUCCUUCCGGUCAAGAAAGGUGAUGUUGCAUCUUGCUUUUACUUAAAUGUUCAUUAUCAUAAUCUCAGCAACUACCAAAGUUUAAAGCUAUUUUAGAAGCAUAAAUGUUAAACGAACAAAA